AAAAGUCAGACGUUUCA
rnacentral:sRNA from 1 species